CCUACCAGACGAGCUAAAUGCCUUUUAUGCUCGCUUCGAGGCAAGCAACACUGAAGUAUGCAUGAGAGCACCAACUGAUCUGGAUGACUGUGUGAUCACCCUCUUCGUUGCCGAUGUGAGCAACAUUCACAAGGCCGCGGGGCCAGACAGAUUACCAGGACGUGUACUCAGAGCAUGAACGGACCAAGUGUCUUCACUGACAUUUUCAACCUCUCCCUGACCAUGUCCGUAAUACCUACAUGUUUCAAGCAGACCACCAAAGUCUCUGUGCCAAAGAAAGUGAAGGUAACCUGCCUGAAUGACUACCGCUCCGUAAGACUCACGUCAGUAGUCAUGAAGGGCAUUGAGAGGCUGGUCAUGACUCAUAUGUGACCCAAUUCGGGAAACUAUGCGUAUGUGGCAAAUCACGACUUCACAGGAUAGCCGUUUGAACGUAAAAAAUAUAUUUUUUAAUCAAAAUGCGUUUUUUUUUAGCAGAAAUGCUUUCUCGAACAUGUGAAAUGUCAUGUGCUUUAUUAAUAACAAACUCAUAUGCCAUCUGUAAAUACCAAUAAAAUUGUUGAAUUACGAGCCUUGUUGUUUAAGCCACAGUGUUAUUUAAGCCACAGGAAAGUUGGCAAACUUCCCAUUAGCCAUGAUUGGCUGAGAUAAUGAGUGGGCUGGACAUGCCAAGAGAGGAGUUUGGAUUGGUCUGCCAUAUUGAAGGUUUCUGUCUAUUUGAGCUCGUCAGUCUGUGUUGGUAAUCCUGCCACAAGCGGCUUUUAAAAAAUGUAUUGUGUAGUGGAGCUGCAUAAGCGUUGCUCUCCAUUUUCUGGAGGAUCAAGUUUUGAAAUCAGUGGAAUUAGAGUAUGAUAGCUAAAGAGAUGGAGAAAACACCUGUCUCCGGAUCACAUUUUCAAACUAAGAGCAACCGGGGUAUGGCAUUCCUGACAGGGAGACGCGUCCAUGAUGCAUGUUAAUGUAUACAGGCAAUCAUUUGUACCUACGGGGGAAGGAUGGCCAGCCACACAGGAGGGGGACUUUUACUAAGGAGGAGAAGAAGACUGUGCUGACCGAGAUGCACGCUGGCCAUUUCGGAGUAAAGCAAAUGGUUGCCAAAAUCAACCUACGUUUCUUCUAACAGGGAAUUGUCAAGGAGGUGGACAGCUGGGCAAGUGAAAUAACCUUUUGUUUAUCAAUCACAUUCUAUAUUAUAUCUGAAAUUAUUAUGAUUUCAAUGAAUGUCAUAU